rnacentral:rRNA from 1 species
CGUGUAGGCGGCCAGACAGGUCCGUUGUGAAAACUAGAGGCUUAACCUCUAGACGUCGAUGGAAACCGUCUGGCUAGAGUCCGGAAGAGGAGAAUGGAAUUCCUGGUGUAGCGGUGAAAUGCGCAGAUAUCAGGAAGAACACCCGUGGCUAAGGCGGUUCUCUAGUACGGUACUGACGCUGAGACGCGAAAGCGUGGGGAGCAAACA